AACGUACGCUGGCGGCACGCCUAACACAUGCAAGUCGAACGAAGUAGCAAUACUUAGUGGCAGACGGGUGAGUAACAUGUAGGUAUCUGCCCUUUGGCCUGGAAUAACACGAGGAAACUUGUGCUAAUACCGGAUAAGUCUUUACGGAGAAAGCUUUAUGCACCAUUGGAUGAGCCUGCACUUGAUUAGUUUGUUGGUGGGGUAAUGGCCUACCAAGACUGUGAUCAAUAGCUGAUUUGAGAGGAUGAUCGGCCACAUUGGGACUGAGACACGGCCCAAACUCCUACGGGAGGCAGCAGUGGGGAAUCUUGCACAAUGGAGGAAACUCUGAUGCAGCGAUGCCGCGUGAGUGAAGAAGGCCUUUGGGUUGUAAAGCUCUUUCGUCGGGGAAGAAAAUGACUGUACCCGAAUAAGAAGGUCCGGCUAACUUCGUGCCAGCAGCCGCGGUAAUACGAAGGGACCUAGCGUAGUUCGGAAUUACUGGGCUUAAAGAGUUCGUAGGUGGUUGAAAAAGUUAGUGGUGAAAUCCCAGAGCUUAACUCUGGAACUGCCAUUAAAACUUUUCAGCUAGAGUAUGAUAGAGGAAAGCAGAAUUUCUAGUGUAGAGGUGAAAUUCGUAGAUAUUAGAAAGAAUACCAAUUGCGAAGGCAGCUUUCUGGAUCAUUACUGACACUGAGGAACGAAAGCAUGGGUAGCGAAGAGGAUUAGAUACCCUCGUAGUCCAUGCCGUAAACGAUGUGUGUUAGACGUUGGAAAUUUAUUUUCAGUGUCGCAGGGAAACCGAUAAACACACCGCCUGGGGAGUACGACCGCAAGGUUAAAACUCAAAUGAAUUGACGGGGACCCGCACAAGUAGUGGAGCAUGUGGUUUAAUUCGAAGAUACGCGCAGAACCUUACCAACACUUGACAUGUUCGUCGCGACUCUAAGAGAUUAGAGUUUUCGGUUCGGCCGGACGAAACGCAGGUGCUGCAUGGCUGUCGUCAGCUCGUGUCGUGAGAUGUUGGGUUAAGUCCCGCAACGAGCGCAACCCUCACUUUUAGUUGCCAUCAUUAAGUUGGGCACUCUGAAAGAACUGCCAGUGAUAAGCUGGAGGAAGGUGGGGAUGACGUCAAGUCCUCAUGGCCCUUACGUGUUGGGCUACACACGUGCUACACUGGUAUCUACAACAGGAAGCAAGACUGCGAAGUUAAGCAAAUCCCUAAAAGAUACCUCAGUUCGGAUUGCACUCUGCAACUCGAGUGCAUGAAGCUGGAAUUACUAGUAAUCGUGGAUCAGCGUGCCACGGUGAAUGCGUUCCCGGGUCU
rnacentral:rRNA from 1 species